rfam:Vigna angularis cultivar Jingnong 6 chromosome 1, whole genome shotgun sequence.
GGAAUGCUUUGAUGUAAAAUAUUUAUACGUGACUUUUUAAGUUUAUUGUCAAAUCUCAAGGCUCAAUGCGGGUGGAUACUACCAAGUUAGAGUAUGGUAGCGAUAGAGAGAAUUUUUGGUAGAGCAGUGAAAUGCGUGAAGAUUGAAAAGAAUGUCAACGAUGAAAGCACUAUGUUAGGCUAACACUAGAACUGAAACACAAAAGUUAGGGAAGCGAAUGAUAUCAAAUACCUUAGUAGUCCUAACCGUAAAUGAUGGAUACUAGAUGUUAUGCAUAUUGACCUAUGCAAUAUUAUAACUAACACUGAGUAUUCCACC